rnacentral:rRNA from 1 species
AGUGAACGCUGGCGGUAGGCCUAACACAUGCAAGUCGAACGGCAGCACAGUAAGAGCUUGCUCUUACGGGUGGCGAGUGGCGGACGGGUGAGGAAUACAUCGGAAUCUACUUUUUCGUGGGGGAUAACGUAGGGAAACUUACGCUAAUACCGCAUACGACCUACGGGUGAAAGCAGGGGAUCUUCGGACCUUGCGCGAUUGAAUGAGCCGAUGUCGGAUUAGCUAGUUGGCGGGGUAAAGGCCCACCAAGGCGACGAUCCGUAGCUGGUCUGAGAGGAUGGUAACCCACAUUGGAACUGGGCCACGGUCCAGACUCCUACGGGAGGCAGCAGUGGGGAAUAUUGGACAAUGGGCGCAAGCCUGAUCCAGCCAUACCGAGUGGGUGAAGAAGGCCUUCGGGUUGUAAAGACCUUUUGUUGGGAAAGAAAAGCAGCAGGUUAAUACCCCGCUGUUCUGACGGUACCCAAAGAAUAAGCACCGGCUAACUUCGUG